rnacentral:rRNA from 1 species
CAGCCGCCGCGGUAAUACAGAGGGUGCGAGCGUUAAUCGGAUUUACUGGGCGUAAAGCGUGCGCAGGCGGUUAUAUAAGACAGAUGUGAAAUCCCCGGGCUCAACCUGGGAACUGCAUUUGUGACUGUAUAGCUAGAGUACGGCAGAGGGGGAUGGAAUUCCGCGUGUAGCAGUGAAAUGCGUAGAUAUGCGGAGGAACACCGAUGGCGAAGGCAAUCCCCUGGGCCUGUACUGACGCUCAUGCACGAAAGCGUGGGGAGCAAACAGGAUUAGAUACCCGUGUAGUCCCUGUCUCUUAUAC